CCUGCGGGCGACAUCCCUCCCCUCUUCUUUGGCAGACACUUCCCCGCCCCAUUUCGAGGCCUUCCCAUCAAACCCCAGUAGCAAUGUCGUCCAACGACCUGAGGGAGGAAGCUCUCUCUACAGAGAAGACCCAACCCCUGAAGCACGUCCAGAGUCCUGGCGUGGUUGAAACAAUGGAGCGGGUGGAAGAGCCAAAGAAAACCCUGUGGGAGAAAGUGAAAACGCCCGGCUCGGUAUACCAGAUUCUUAUCUCUGCUGCCAUCGCCAUCGCGAUCGGUUUCGCUGUGAACACAACGGUGGACAAAGUGCCUGUUGCCGCUGUCGAUCUCUGCGGCAUUCCUGGCCGAAUCUGGUUGCGCGCUCUCAAAGCUAUUGUCCUACCGUUGAUCGUGGUCUCUCUGAUCCUGGCCGUUCAGCGGCUGCGGGAGAUGUCGCGCGGUGGAGCACUUCUAGCUCGCUGGACUAUUGGAUACUACCUUUUUACCACGCUGGUCGCAAUCAUGCACAGCACAAUCCUCGUGGCA
rnacentral:sRNA from 1 species